GGACAGCCAACACCUUUUCCCAGGGCAGCAAUGGCCGACGCCAGAGGAUAUCCAUUUAAGAAACAUGCUCGAAACCAGUGAACACCACACUCAGCUGUUUUCCUAAUGGCAUCUAAAAGAUGGUCUGGACUGAUUUUGAAGACUACCUGAAAUCACUUGUUUGUCUUGGAGCUGAGGUUUUACAAACCCAAGAAGAGCUAUUGAAUGAAUCUACCUUCCUGAUGCAGAGGCAAGGAACACAAUGAUCGAUCCCGUGAUCAGAUCGCUUACUGUAGGAUGUUGACAAUGGGAUAGUCCACAGGGUUGUAAAGCUGUCUCAGCUUGCCCUCAGUUGAGACUGAUGAGGUGUCGAUAACCUCCUUCCUUCAUUGUGAUUUCUUUGUUCUGCCGUUUUCAACAUUCUGUCCUAGGCAGCAGAGUUCCCCUCCCCCCUAAAAGCCUGAUGGGAUACUUGACAUCACUCUGGCUGCUACAAAUAUACCGAGCAAUAUCUUUCAUCCAGCUGAAGUUACACAAAUAAGCAGGAAGCCAACAGAACUGCGCCCUAAGAUUCCUGCCAUCCUGCUGUUGGUGGUUGGGGGUGGGGUUGGUGGGAAUCUGUGCCAUAUUGUAAGCAAAUGGUGUAUAAUAGCCGGUAACGUUUAAUGUGGAUGCACAGAAAACAGUCGAGUGGACAGGAUGUACACCAGAGGGACGGAAGGCUAUGAAUAGAUACUGCUCUGCAGUUCUGACAGCUGAGAUCAGUGGCUGCAAUGUAAUUCAUCAUAAUUGCUAGGAAAUUAAGUUGGCAUUUGUAAUUCAUUGCUAUUUUAGAUGCAGUUUAUUACACUAAAAUAGUGUUGGUUCCAAAUUUGGUUCCUCCACUGGAAUUUAGGAUAUUUUACAAUACAACAUCUUUUGAUAUUCUGUGUUGAAGUUUGCAGUGGUUUGAAAUGAAGGUAGCUCUGUGGUUAAAACAA